rnacentral:piRNA from 13 species
GCCCGGAUAGCUCAGUCGGUAGAG